rnacentral:lncRNA from 1 species
CAGGAGUCUCAAAAAAACAAAGUAAUGGAGGCAGAAACAAACUUUGUUAAUCAUCAAUUGAAUAUUGUUGAUGAUCCACUAAUGACCAAUAAUGAGGAAAAGGUUGUUGAUAUUACUGAACCUUCUGAAAGUAUAUUUUGGGAUAUUGUUUAAUUUCUUGUUUUAAUUAAACACCAUGCAUGUAUAAUAUUAUUAGUUUU